ensembl:snoRNA small nucleolar RNA U85
GCCCGGUGAUGAGACCAAGGCGAAUGCGAGUUCACUGAAUUAGAGUUGAGUUCUUCUGCCAAAUUCAGCAGGUAAUCUUGGCAGUGCAGGGGAGGAUUCCUGCACUGCUGUAAGGGCCUGCUGACAGUGACUGGCCUCAACCCAUGUCGUUAUUCCUCUAAAGCCAUGUUGGAAUAAUCAUGAGGAGGAAGCCGACAGUGUGCGUUGGAGACAACUGGCUAGAGGUGUUUCUCUGCUCUCGUUACUGUUCAGUGAGCAAUGAGCUGUGUCUUUGGUAAUCUGAGGGCU